rnacentral:rRNA from 1 species
UACGUAGGGUGCAAGCGUUAAUCGGAAUUACUGGGCGUAAAGCGUGCGCAGGCGGUUAUGUAAGACAGAUGUGAAAUGCCCGGGCUUAACCUGGGAACUGCAUUUGUGACUGCAUGGCUAGAGUUUGGCAGAGGGGGGUAGAAUUCCACGUGUGAGCAGUGAAAUGCGUAGAUAUGUGGAGGAACACCGAUGGCGAAGGCAGCCCCCUGGGUCAAGACUGACGCUCAUGCACGAAAGCGUGGGGAGCAAACAGG